CUGCAGCUGGGAGAGGAGUCCCAACACCAGGAUUCCCAGGUGUUCCAAUCAGUACUCAGGAUAGGACACAGACAACUCACAAUGGAGUUUGUGCUUGGCUGGGUUUUCCUUGUUGCUCUUUUAAAAGGUGUCCAGUGUGAGGUGCAGCUGGUGGAGUCUGGGGGAGACCUGGUGAAGCCUAGGGGGUCCCUGAGACUCUCCUGUGCAGCCUCUGGAUUCACCUUCAGUAGUUCCUACAUGAACUGGGUCCGCCAGGCUCCAGGGAAUGGACUACAGUGGGUCGCAGAUAUUAGCAGUGAUCGAAGUAGCACAAGCUAUGCAGACUCUGUGAAGGGCCGAUUCACCAUCUCCAGAGACAACGGCAAGAACACGCUGUAUCUGCAGAUGAACAGCCUGAGAGCCGAGGACACAGCCAUGUAUUACUGUGCAACAGACACAGUGAGGGACCCUCAGUGGUCUUUUCCUGGUUUUUGUGACUACUACGGUAUGGACUACUGGGGCCAGGGGACCUCGGUCACCGUGUCCUCAGCUUCCACCACGGCCCCAUCGGUUUUCCCACUGGCCCCCAGCUGCGGGGUCACCUCCGGACCCACGGUGGCCCUGGCCUGCCUGGUAUCCGGCUACUUCCCUGAGCCUGUCACUGUGUCCUGGAACUCCGGCUCCUUGACCAGCGGUGUGCACACCUUCCCAUCCGUCCUGCAGUCCUCGGGGCUCUACUCUCGCAGCAGCAUGGUGACCGUGCCCUCCAGCAAGUGGGCCAGCGACACCUUCAUCUGCACCGUGGCCCACCCAGCCAGUAACACCAAGGUGGACAAGAGAGUGACCAAAGUAGAUCCUCCUAUUCAAUGCAAAUGUCCGAAAAAUCCAGAAUGUAAUAUGCUGGGAGGACCUUCGGUCUUCAUCUUCCCCCCGAAACCCAGGGACACCCUCUCCAUUUCCCGAACCCCCGAGGUCACAUGCAUGGUGGUAGACCUGGAAGACCCUGAGGUCCAGAUCAGCUGGUUCGUGGACAACCAGGAGGUGCGCACGGCCAAGACAAAUUCGCGAGAGGAGCAGUUCAACAGCACCUUCCGUGUGGUCAGUGUCCUCCCCAUCCAGCACCAGGACUGGCUCCAGGGGAAGGCCUUCAAGUGCAAGGUCAACAACAAAGCUCUCCCAUCCCCCAUUGAGAGGACCAUCUCCAAGGCCAGAGGGAAUCCCCAGCAGCCCAGUGUGUAUGUCCUGCCCCCACCCCGGGACGAGAUGACCAAGAACACCGUCAGUGUGACCUGCCUGGUCAAAGACUUCUACCCAGCUGACAUUGAUGUGGAGUGGCAGAGCAGCGGCCAGCAGUUACCAGAGGCCAGUGUCCGAACCACCGCGCCCCAGCUGGAUGCGGACGGCAGCUACUUCCUCUACAGCAAGCUCUCGGUGGGCAAGGCGCGCUGGCAGCGGGGAGACGUCUUCACGUGUGCAGUGCUGCAUGAAGCCCUCCACAACCACCACACACAGAAGUCCAUCUCCCAGUCUCCGGAGCUGCUCCUGGACGACAGCUGUGCCGAGGACCAGGAUGGGGAGCUGGACGGGCUGUGGACCACCAUCUCAAUCUUCAUCACCCUCUUCCUGCUCAGCGUGUGCUACAGCGCCACUGUGACCCUCUUUAAGGUGAAGUGGAUCUUCUCCUCGGUGGUGCAGCUGAAGCACACGAUCGUCCCCGACUACCGGAACAUGAUCGGCCAGGGGGCCUAGGGCCGGUCCUCGUGGCGGGUGUCCAGGGCUGCCCUCGACCCCCCACGGGAACCGGCCGCAUUGGUUCGUGCCGCUCGGCCUGCUGCCAGGCCUGCCCCUCUGACCUCCCAGCGUGCCACCCUCCGACCUCACAGCCGCCCUGGACCUGACCUCCACCCUCAGGGUUGCCGGGCACCGUGGGCUGCUCCUGCCCCUGACGCCCCGUUUGGAGACUCCACCGGACACCAGGCUGCGCCCCCAACCUGAGCUGAUGGACACUGCUCACCCCUCCUCAGCGGCCACUGAGUCACUGCUGGGGCCGCGUGGACACUGACCCAUCAGGGCAGGAUGGCCCUCACCAGCACGGCCCCGGGGUCACGUGCACGGUCAUCCUGGAGGCGGCAGAGGGCUGGCAGUCCCAGCAUCCAUCGGGGCAGGGACCGGCCUCCAUGCAAACCCCAUCGAGGCCGGGCUCCAGGAGGCAGGACAUCCCCAGAGCAGGCAUGUUGUCUCAGAUCCUGAGGAGCCCAUGGGCCACCAUCACCCCACAGAGAGGCUUCCGGUGUGCCACGGAUGGUCAGUCAGACCUUCUCCACUGGAGGAGAUGUGCAGAGGAGGGCCCAGGCCUGUGGCCACUGCAGGACCCCCCCGGGGACAGGGGGAAGGAGUGACGGCAGCCAGACUGGCCUCCUGCAGUGGGGUCUGGUGACCUGGUCCCCAGACGGGUGGGACGCAGCCUCAGUGGACAGAGCUGGGCAGGUGCGGAGAGGCCAGGACAGCAGGCCCAGCCUGCACCCUCCUGUGACCAGGACCCGAGUCACGCUGGGCAGAAAUGCCUGCUUGCUCUGGGCAGCUGGGGGCAGAGACAAGACGACCAGAGAGAGUGCCCAUGGCCUUGGGGCCUGACCCAGGCAGACGCCCAGGACUGGUUCUCCACCCGGCCUUUGAACGAGUGCCCGAUCGGAGCCCCGACACGGGAGAGACGACCACGCAGGGGAGGAGAAGCAGGGCCCCCGUGCCCCUGGGAGAGAAUGCACACCCAUCACUCAGAGGACCCCCGCUGCUGUAGCUUGGGUAGCUUGAUUUCUUCUUGUGAAAUUUCCGAAGCGUGAAAAUGUCCUUUACUGUUUCUUCUCUUUUUCUUUAACGACAAUAAAAUAUCCUGAAAAAUUCCAUAA